UGUUAGCUCGGCUCCAAAGUCUCCAUCAAUAUCGGCGGCGCUUUGCACGCUGCGGAGCCACGCAGAGGUAACAAACUGUGCUGUGCGGCUGGUCCCGGCGGAGGUUCGAGUCCUCCCUCGGGCAUGGGCAGGACGCAUAAAGACACUGGCAGCAGAUUUGAAACAGACACCGACACCCGAGCAGGAAUUGGAAUCCUGGAUCUCCUCUUUGCGAAGCAGCAACGCUACUCCGAGCCUGCUGUAAUCAAGCCUUUAGAUGUAGAGCUCAUUGGCAGCGCUGCGGUGCGGGAGAAACCCGUGGAGUGUCAGUUUUUGAGUUUGUGAGCGCUGAACACCGAUUCGUGGGCCACGGAGAAACACGGGCAGCAGCCCGCUGCUGAUAGCGCGUCACACGCCGCCGUCAUGUUGGCGCCCGCAUGGCGCUCGACGCAGCGCCGCGACGCAGGGGCCGCCGGUCCGACGACGAGCAAUUCUGUCGACCCCUCCAGGAACCGACGAAACGGGGCUCGGGGACUGUGAAGCUUUUUGCGUGCUUAGACUGCGGCAUGCUCCUCUUUAAGGCAGGACGUGUGGGAAAAUACAGUGGUCAUACGAGGUCAUGUAACUUGCAUUGUUUUAGAGAUAACUGAACCAAACUUUUGCACACGUUAUCUUUAUGUUAUUGGCUACAGUCCCGCGUGUUUCAAUUUCUUGUCAAAUAAGUUGAUCAGGAGAUUGCUGUAUACUUUUAGAACAUAUUACAUUAAUGGGGAACAUUUUCAAGAGUAUAUUUUGAGCCAUUUGAACAUUUUCUGAAUGGUUACUUCACUUAUCAGUUUCAAAAUGUCGUUGGCUAUUCUUAGUGUAGCAGUUUCUCUCGCAACACUUUCUUAAAUUUAUUUGUAAGAUACGCAGCAAUUUUUAUUUCACAAAAUUUAAAUAAAUUUGACAUUGAUGUACUUUGAACAGUUUUGUGCCACAGGAAGUUGUGCUGUAGUAUGUACAAAGUCUACCUUUCUAUCUGCAAUGGUUCAGCAGAAAAUGUACUUCAUACAUCUAAAAAUAAACGU